rnacentral:tRNA from 1 species
GCUCAGUUGGUUGAGUGUGCGACUCCUGAUUUUGGCUCAGGUCAUGAUCCUGAAGUCAUGGGUUCAAGCCCUGUAUCGGGCU